rnacentral:rRNA from 1 species
CGCUUAACACAUGCAAGUCGCACGAGAAAGCCCGCAAGGGUGAGUAAAGUGGCGUACGGGUGAGUAACACGUGGGUAAUCUACCUCUUAGUGGGGAAUAACCCUGGGAAACCGGGGCUAAUACCGCAUAAGCUCGUGAGAGGAAAGCAGCAAUGCGCUGAGAGAGGAGCCCGCGGUCGAUUAGCUAGUUGGUAGGGUAAGAGCCUACCAAGGCUACGAUCGAUAGCCGGCCUGAGAGGGCACACGGCCACACUGGCACUGAAACACGGGCCAGACUCCUACGGGAGGCAGCAGUGGGGAAUCUUGCACAAUGGGGGAAACCCUGAUGCAGCGACGCCGCGUGAGCGAUGAAGCCCUUCGGGGUGUAAAGCUC